rnacentral:lncRNA from 1 species
CUCCGGGAAAGGUUUUUCUUUUCCACACCUUUCUAACAAUGCCUAGUGCAGUACCAGUGGCAAGUGGGGCUGGUGGUGGUGGAGAAAUUGUCCAGGAUGCAGAUAGGCCACUGGGGACUCUGAAGCCACCAGGCCAUCAGGGAGUGGUGUGGGGCCCAGGGGCAGCUGCAAUCCUUCUGGCAUCUUAGGAACCUAAACUCUAAGAAGCUGUUCGAAUUCAAAGAGUUUCUUUUAAGAAAUACUGCUCUGUUAAAAACCCAACCUAAAAUUAUUUUAAUUGAAUUUGGUUAGGAAGAGAGUGUUGAUUAACAUUAAGGACAUUCAUGCAAUGAAGAGCCCACUGUUGGGUUUCCCGGGACACAAUUGAGUCUCCUUGGAUUGGAACCUCUCCCUCACCUUGCUACCUGGAACAAAAGCCCUAAGGUGGAUGGCGAUCAUCGCCCUGCCGGCUGUGGUUUGGGUGAGCACAGUAUCUCAGACAGACCCUCCCUAACAAAGUGUACCAGGCAUCCACCACAAUUUCCUGAGCAUCUUCUGGCUCUUCCACCCUAAUUCCUCCAUUUAGCCAAGGAAAUUCCUUCUGGGUCGAUGGCAAUCUCUCCGAAGAUAAGGAUUUACCCUCCCUGGGGUGGCCUCAAGCAGAACUGGUCCUUAGAUCCAGGGGCCUGAGGCAGAGGAGCUCUGGGCAAAGUUACUAGGUUUAAAUAAAGCAUUUUCUCUGGUCAGUUGCACCAUCUGCUCAGGGUGACGCCCACCGCCGUCUCAGCCCUGUGGCGCCCAGAGGCUCAGGCCUGGACUGCCGGGAUUCGAACCUUCCGCCGCCCACCCCAGCGCAGCGGCCCGCUGGGAGCCCGCAGCCGUGGCGAUCACAGAGAAGAGCGCCGCGGCCCGGAGGGGCGGGGUAGGCCGGCGACCUCCCCCUGGUGGGCGGGGCGCCGGGUCCCGCCCCCGCGCAGAGGCCAGCGCAGCGCUGCGCAGCCCCGCCCCCCGCGACUCCCCGCAGCUCCUCCCCUCGUCUAUUGGCCGAGGCGGAGACCCUCCUCUCUGGCCAAUGGUCGCCGCCGUAGCUCGGCUGUCCGCACCCUGACUGGCCAGUGGCCCGGAGAGUGGCGGGGAGCGGGCCAAUGGGGAGCGGGGGCUCGAUGAAUGGCUGGCCCGGGUGGGGGAAGGCAGGAGGCGGCGAUCUCGGCGGAGGGGGCCGUUCUCCAGCUCCGAGGCAGAAAGUGCCACGACUCCACACGCGCGCACGCAGCUAGCGGGCGGCCGGAGCGGACGGCAGACGGGGCGGGCGGCGUCGGGGUCGCGGUGCCUGUAGCGGCUUGGGGCGGCUUCUCGGCGGCGACGCGGCCGGCUGGUCUCUCGCGGUUCCGGGGCGGCGGCGGCGGCUCCUGCCCUUUCGCUCUCGUUGCGUCUCCGGCUGCAGCAAAACCAUCAGCAUUACCUGGAGACAGCACCGCUGAGCCCUGCUCCGCUGCUUCCGCCUGCUUGAUUCACCAGCCCUCGGAAGGUCCCCCCAGCUUUGCCUUCACCCUGCCCUCUCAUCUGUCCCAGGGCCUCCUGGGCCUUCCAAGCUUGGGCUGCUCCUGCUACACCCCUGCCCCCUGACUUGGGCUCUGCCUGGAUGUCACCUCGAGCUGAGGAGCUCCCUGACACCCUGCGUGACUCCCCAUCGCCUUCAGGUCUGGAACACCCAUUUAGCUCAGUGCCUGUCCUGGCUCUGUGUCCCUUUCUGGGUCUUUGCACACUCCCCUCUGUAUCGCUCUCUUUUUCUUCCUGUCAGCUGCUAUGUCCUGCAUGUGCUUCACUUUGUUUUUGC